GACGAACGCUGGCGGCGUGCUUAACACAUGCAAGUCGAGCGAGGCCCCUCCUUCGGGAGGGUGUCCUAGCGGCGAACGGGUGAGUAACACGUGGGCAACCUGCCCUCAGCUCUGGGAUAACUCCGGGAAACCGGGGCUAAUACCGGAUACGACCUCCACGGGCAUCUGCGGAGGUGGAAAGUUUUUCGGCUGAGGAUGGGCCCGCGGCCUAUCAGCUAGUUGGUGGGGUAGUGGCCCACCAAGGCGACGACGGGUAGCCGGCCUGAGAGGGCGACCGGCCACACUGGGACUGAGACACGGCCCAGACUCCUACGGGAGGCAGCAGUGGGGAAUAUUGCGCAAUGGGCGAAAGCCUGACGCAGCGACGCCGCGUGAGGGACGAAGGCCCUCGGGUUGUAAACCUCUUUCAGCAGGGACGAAGCGAAAGUGACGGUACCUGCAGAAGAAGCACCGGCCAACUACGUG
rnacentral:rRNA from 1 species